rnacentral:tRNA from 1 species
GCUGUGGCUCAGUGAUAGAGCGCUUGCCUAGCAUGUGUGAGGCACUGGGUUUGAUCCUCAGCACUGCA